rnacentral:rRNA from 1 species
AUGGAACAAUUAAAAAUACCCUGCUUGCAUUGCUGGUUUUCCCACAAUCUCAAUUUGAAGGUUAAAAUUAUAAUCGAGCUGGCAAAAUUUGUUCAUGCCUUCUCACACAAAGAUACCUCCUUGCAAAAUUUGUUCGCCUUCUCACACAAAGAUACCUCCUUGCAAAAUUUGUUCAUCUGGCUAGAGAAGGCAGCAGAGUUUGCCUGCCUUCUCACACAAAGACACCUCCUUGCAAAAUUUGUUCAUCUGGCUAGACAAGGCAGCAGAGUUUGCCUGCCCUCUCACACAAAGACACCUCCUUGCAAAAUUUGUUCAUCUGGCUAG